rnacentral:rRNA from 1 species
CCCUUAGAUGUUCUGGGCCGCACGCGCGCUACACUGACGAAUGCAACGAGCUUAUAACCUUGGCCGAAAGGUCUGGGUAAUCUCCAAAUUUCGUCGUUAUGGGGAUAGAUUAUUGCAAUUAUUAAUCUUCAACGAGGAAUGCCUAGUAAGCGCAAGUCAUCAGCUUGCGUUGAUUACGUCCCUGCCCUUUGUACACACCGCCCGUCGCUCCUACCGAUUGAAUGGUCCGGUGAAGCGUUCGGACCGUGGCCUUUGGACGGUUCGCCGUCUGUUGGCUGCGGGAAGUUCGUUAAACCUUAUCAUUUAGAGGAAGGAGAAGUCGUAACA